rnacentral:tRNA from 1 species
AUUAGUUAAAACCAAAACAGAGGUAUAUCACUGUUAAUGAUAAAAUUGAAAAAUAAUUCUA